rnacentral:lncRNA from 1 species
GGAGAGUGAAAAUGGUGGCUUCUUGACUUUACUUAUAAACAGCCUUGGCUAGUUGGCUUGGCUGCCCAAGCGGCAAGACCCUUUUUUUUUUUUUUCAAUUUUAUUUAUUCAUUCGUUUGCUUUUUAUUUUUUUAUUCUGAAAUUUAAUUGCUCUUCGUUUUGGGAUUGAGAGAUUCUGUUGAAUAAGAGUUUGAUCAAUAGAUGUAUAAGGUGAAGGUAUGUUAAAACCAAAACCAAACGACAACAGCAAUUGGGUGUGUUUGGCAAAGAUCAAUUACAG